GGAGAAGCAGGCUCCAUGCAGGGAGCCUGAUGUGGGACUCGAUCCCAGGUCUCCAGGAUCACACCCCAGGCCAAAGGCAGGCACUAAACCGCUGAGCCACCCAGGGAUCCCAACACCGGCACAUCUGAGCAAAGAACCCAAAGCAGCACUGCCAUCGCCUAAGAUACACUCCUAAAGUACAAGCUGUCUUUCUUGACCUCCACUGCCUUGCCGGGGAAGCGUGCAGCGCCUCUCUCAUUCUCCACCACCCUUCUGCUAGUCCCUCUUAGAUCUGUCAGGACUGUCUUCUGUUCCCAAGCCCUGCACUCAAGACUCACCCUUUCACUAUUCCCAAACUCAUGAUUCAGGGAAGUAACCCAGUGAUUUUUCAAUUCAAUUCGGAAAGCAUUUCUUAGGCAAUCAUUCUUCAACUGCUUUGUGGUAUAUACAGUAACAUAAAUCACUCGUCCAUCAGGUAUUUACUGAAUGGCUGCACUUGCCAAGUCUCAUGCAAUAGACAGUAGGGGAUGUAAAAAUAAAGCCGGGGACCAACUGUCCUCCAAGCAUUCAGACUCUUAUGGAGAAAUGAUGGGCAAAAUUUUUAGGAAAGGCUUAUAGUCUUGAACUGGGUUUUGAAAAUCCAAUGAGCCGGAUUUAGAAUAAUGGAGAAACAAAAUUGAGUUAGGAGCAUACCUUGUAUAUGCCCUCAUCCUCAUCAGCCAUCUUCUGUGGCUCUGUUCAUAAUGCUCCUAUCUCUGAAAACCUUUAAGGUCCUGAGCAUCCAAUUAACUGUAGGCAAUGCUACACAGUCCAGAACUUAGCUAUAUGCUGUCUUGAUAAUGCUGCAGUUUUAUUCUUUAAUAUUCUCUCAUCUCCUAAGACACAUGGUAGCCACCAAGAGUGCAGAAACGACACUGUCUCUAUUUCUUGUGGCUUCCACAGAGACAUACAUAGAGCUGGGCAGGCAGCUGAUCAGACACAUUUGCCUGUUGACCUGAAGAGAAGAAAUAUGAGAAAUUAGGGAUGAAGAUACAGAUUGAUGAGUUGCCCACAAAGACUGCUAAUGUAGUUGAUAUUUGAAAGUCCUUGCAGCCACCACAAUGCCUUAGCAUUCAGCAUAGCACCUUGCACAAAGUAGGCAUUAAGUGAAUAGUUAUUGAAGUUAAUUGACAGGAGAAUUGGUAUUUCUAUGGAAUUUCUAUGAUCUUGGUAUUUCUUUGAUUUCCAGAAAGCUAGACUUCUUCUGGGAAAUAUGUCAUUUGUAUGGGAGAGAUCUGUAAUUUUCUGCUCAAAGUCUGGCUCCCUAAUAACGGAGGUCGCAGGACCUCCAUUAUCUUGCCCCAAAUUGACCCCUUUUAGUGCCAUGACAAAGGAUUAAUCAGGGUUGUCCUUUCUGGAGCCACCAUGCACUGGUGAGAGAGAGUGCAUCUUUUUCUUUUGUUAGAGUUUAAAAGGAGCUGACAUUGUCUGCUCUGCUCUCUUUGGUCCCAUUGCCAGGGGAGGCCAGGAUGUGGCUCCCUUCAUCGCUGACCCACGUAUUUUCGCUCCUGCUCCUCAGGAUCUGCUAUACCCCCUCAUUUCAUAUCUCCUAUUUCCACUCCAGUUAAAAUCUGUUCACACCGGAGUCCCACUUUCCCCUGUAACCACAGUACAGUACACCCAGCACAAGUGCAGGCACGGCGUAGGCACUCAACAAACAUUUGUAGGAAAAAGAAAUGACAUUCCUUUUUAUGAAACUGCCUUUUUAAGAUUCCAGUGCUUACGCACUCCCGAAUCAGCCCAUGUGCUUUAGUAAUGUGGAUUCUUAAUCUUCUCUUAUGCUCUUCCACACAGAAGCACCAAUCUUAGAAUAAUUGGUCUUGGACCUUUUAACAUUCUGCAUUUCAAAUUCUGUUCACUCUCGGCAUAGCUAAACCUACACAUGUUCUCGUUGAUCCACUAUCAAUAAAGUGGGAGUAUGCUUAUAAAUGGGGCUUAUUCUCUUUUAUAUUUGUAAUAUCUUUAACCAGAAUUUGGAAAAGUGGAAAGAGAACCUUAGAGAGCUGGUCCCGUUUUGUGAAAUGUGCGUCCGCAUGGGGGAGAGGAACACAGAAGAGAUUUAGAUCAAUGACGUUUAAGAUGUGUCCCCUGGUCGCUCAGCUCCAGCAUGUUCAGACAGCAUCGUAGAGAUGACAGGGAAGGCAACCAAUACUCUGGAGUUUGCAACUUUGAAGGAAUAAGAGAAAAACUGCUAUUCAAGGAGACCAGAGUUCACAGUCUUUCUCACCUAUCCUUUUCCCUGGCCAAGUCACUGUUGUCACUGGUUCAGGAGAGAGGCCAAGCGCAUGAGAGAGAGAAAGCAGUGAUGGUGUCAUCUGCAAUUCAUCCCGAGGAACUGUGAUGUGAGCUCACAUACAUUUAAAUAUUUGAAAAGCAUCUUUUAAAAUGAAUAUCAAAAUGACAAAUAAGCUAAGUCAGAGAAAAAUGCCCCAGCGUUUCCCUAUCUCCCUUUUCUCAUUAUGGAGAUAAAUCCCAGAUGGAUCUCCAGGCAGCAGAGGGAGUGGGAAAAAUGCUGGCAAGCACAAGAGUAAAGAAACGUCUGCAGAAACCUGCCCUCCUGAAAGAGCAGGACCCCUCGGUCCACCCAGCUGUUGGCAGGUGGACAAGCAGAACACAAGGGCCUCCGGGCUCUGGGGACGAGCCCCGGUUCUGAGCCAGGUCGAGCUGGUGGGGAGGAGGGCCAAGAGAGGCUUGUUUACUUCGGGUUUCUUCUCCUGAUAGCUUGAACUUCAAGGGAUCUGGAAGUUUGAUUCGGAUUAAUGUUCAAAAGCAAGGCUGUUUCUCACAACCUCAUCCAGCCCACUUAUGUAUGUAAAACUACAGGGGGAGUUGCAGGAAAAUAAGCUCUCUAGGGAGGCUCCCACCCUUGCUGCCAGAAAACAGUGCAGAAGCCAGCCAGCCAGAAGAAAUGCCAGCCCUAAUGAAUCUUUCCCGGGUUAUGACCAGAAUCUCAAAGCACUGAGAGCUGUGGAAAAGAGGGGCCACAGCCAAUGGGGCUCUGGGGUGUUUCUGAGGCCAGGCUUCAGAGGAGGAAGGGUGGCUGAGAAUCCACAGAGAAUGUGUGGAUCAGCUUCUUCAUCAGACCAAUAGAGUGUGUGGAGGAGGGGAGUGUGUGUGUGUGGGGGGGGGGGGUCAUGGAUUUGGAAAUUCUAGAACCUACACGGCCACGUGAGCCACCUGCCUGCCCUUCUGCUGGGCUUGUCUGGUGGCCAAAGCUGGGCAGCCCAGCGCCAGGGAGCGCCCAGACAGUCACCCAGCUGCAACAUUAUUUUAAAUGCAAGUUUGUGUGUUGCCUCUGCGACGGCCUGUAAGAAGUACAGAUGAAAUGAACACCAUCACUUUGAGCACAGCAUCUGCAUAAAUCACUGUCCAGUACAUUCAUUCCUAGUGACAGAUUAAUUCCUUUCUCAGGUUUUGCUUAAGAGUGUACCAUGGAAUAUUAAUACUC
rnacentral:lncRNA from 1 species